UACGAAGGGGGCUAGCGUUGCUCGGAAUUACUGGGCGUAAAGCGCACGUAGGUGGGCUUGUAAGUCGGAUGUGAAAUCCCCGGGCUUAACCUGGGAACUGCAUCCGAAACUACAAGUCUUGAAUACUUCAGAGGUUGGUAGAAUUCCAGGUGUAGGAGUGAAAUCCGUAGAUAUCUGGAGGAAUACCGGAGGCGAAGGCGGCCAACUGGGAAUGCAUUGACACUGAGGUGCGAAAGCGUGGGGAGCAAACAGG
rnacentral:rRNA from 1 species